CCUACGGGAGGCUGCAGUGAGGAAUAUUGGUCAAUGGGCGCGAGCCUGAACCAGCCAAGUAGCGUGAAGGAUGACUGCCCUACGGGUUGUAAACUUCUUUUAUAAAGGAAUAAAGUGAGGCACGUGUGCCUUUUUGUAUGUACCUUAUGAAUAAGGAUCGGCUAACUCCGUGCCAGCAGCCGCGGUAAUACGGAGGAUCCGAGCGUUAUCCGGAUUUAUUGGGUUUAAAGGGAGCGUAGAUGGGUUGAUAAGUUAGUUGUGAAAGUUUGCGGCUCAACCGUAAAAUUGCAAUUGAUACUGGCAGUCUAGAGUACAGUUGAGGUAGGCGGAAUUCGUGGUGUAGCGGUGAAAUGCUUAGAGAUCACGAAGAACUCCGAUUGCGAAGGCAGCUUACUAAACUGCAACUGACAUUGAGGCUCGAAAGUGUGGGUAUCAAACAGGAUUAGAUACCCCGGUAGUC
rnacentral:rRNA from 1 species